AUUGAACGCUGGCGGCAUGCUUUACACAUGCAAGUCGAACGGUAACAGGCGGCAAGGUGUUGACGAGUGGGGCACGGGUGAGUAAUGCAUCGGAACGUGCCCAGUCGGGGGGGAUAAUUACUCGAAGGAGAAGCUAAUACCGCAUCCGAUCUAUGGAGGAAAGGGGGGGACCGAAAGGCUCCGCGCGAUUGGACCGGCCGAUGUCAGAUUAGGUAGUUGGUGGGGUAAAGGCUCACCAAGCCAACGAUCUGUAGCUGGUCUGAGAGGACGACCAGCCACACUGGGACUGAGACACGGCCCAGACUCCUACGGGAGGCAGCAGUGGGGAAUUUUGGACAAUGGGCGCAAGCCUGAUCCAGCAAUGCCGCGUGCAGGAAGAAGGCCUUCGGGUUGUAAACUGCUUUUGUACGGAACGAAACGGCUCUGGUUAAUACCCGGGGCUAAUGACGGUACCGUAAGAAUAAGCACCGGCUAACUACGUG
rnacentral:rRNA from 1 species